UCAUGGCUCCCAUCGAAAUCUCCAUCAAAACCCUCCCACCAUAUAAAUCUCCAAUCCUCAUUUCUCCAAACAAUAAUCACAAGAAUUGGGCUCUGGAUAAGCAACAGCAACAAUGGCAGCUUCCUUACAAGUAGCGGCAACAUUCAUGACACCAACCAGAAGGGUGCGGCUCAAGUCUUCUACGAGCAUCUGCAAGGCCUUUGGUGUUGAAUCUACUAGAUCCAAGGUGUCUUGCUCUCUUCAAGCUGAUCUUAAGGACUUUGCUCAGAAGUGUACCGAUGCGGCUAAGAUCGCUGGGUUUGCUCUUGCCACUUCUGCUCUUGUUGUCUCGGAGAACUAUGAGGGCUAUGACUAGUUUUGAUUAAUUUUAAAUCCAGGAGCUCUUUUAUCUGGGAGCAUUCUUUUCGGUCUUCUGGAUUAUAUCUCAUGGGCUUUACUUUAAUUUCUUUAUUUUUGUCUUUCAUUUCUAAUUAUAUUGUUAUUUGAUUGUUAUUCCAAAAUUGUAAUGGAUUAUCCGUAUAACACUGUCUUAAUUUAUAUUUUAUAUUUUCUAUGUGGUUAUCUAAGUUUCUUAGAUUUACUUGGUAAUCUAUUUCCUCAAUUUUAGGUAGGGUUGGUAUUUGUAUUUGGCAUACUUCAUUAAAUAAAAAAGAAAAAUCAAUAGUAUCUUUUAUACUAAAACAAUCAGAAUGGUGGAUAUUUGAUAUAGCAUAUGUAAUAGAAUAUGGUCUAUUUUGUUGUCUAAAGAAAUCUUUUCUUUUAAAAUCUUGUAAUAAAGUUAAAGUUUUAUCAAAAUCUUUGUCUUGGAUAUAAUAGGAAAUUCUUGGGUUGAAGAAACAGUGAUCAGAAUUGACCGGAAUCAAUCAGAUUAGUGGUUUACUCUCUGCAUAAAAGGGGUUAAUCCUCUCGUUGAUUCGGGGGUUUGGCUGAUUUCCUUCUCCGGUGAUCACUGCAAAACAGAAAGCCGUUAGACUCGCCACAGGAAGAAUGGGGGUUCUCUCCGUGACCACCCUCCGGCGUGAGGAUGAGUACAGUGAUCUCGAGGAAGAAGAAGAAGUAGUAAAGUAAGAGUGAAGUGAAAGUAACUUGUGAGAUCAUACCUGCAGCGUCUUAUUUAUAGCCGGUUUUGGCUGGAAAAUGGUGCGACAGAGAUAGUAACGGAAAGUGCUUUUCCGUUUGGUGGUUAUUUUUCCUUCCGUUAAUCUUCGCACACGGAUCGUGGGUCCUGAUCAAUGGUUGGGGAGUUGCCACGUGGAAAGUGGUUUUGGGUAGAUCCUUCUCCAAGUUAGUGCUAUCAUCGUGAUUUAGAUGAGUAUCUAGGAUUAUGCCACGUCAUCAUUCAGUUAUAACCGAAUGGCCAUGCACGAUGAGCAUUUAAGGCUUCUAGAAGAUCUACAGCUGUAAACCGUUAUGCCUUUGCCACGUGUCCUUCUUGUUGUAACAGAAAAAGGUUCCUUUGUUCAAGUCUUGAUUUCAGAUGCGCGGAGAUGUUUAGGAUUUUAUCUUCAAGUCUAAAUGUUCCCUUGCGCAAGCCUGGGCAAGGGUGUUAGUUGAAUGUUUGUUUCUCCUUUUCUCCGGCGCGUGGUUAUCAAAGACUUUCUCUUCUGCAUCUUGUUUAGAACUGCUGCGCAGCAGCGCACGGUCUUCGUUAAAGAUGUUCUUGAAAUAAUGCUAUGGUAUGGUCUUCCGCGCAAGGUUUUGGGGACCGUACUUCAUUAUUAUACUGUUUCUUUCCAAAUCCAGUAUAAGACCACUGCGCGACCGUGUAGGGUCUUAUUCAAGAUGUUUUUUGGAAUAAGGUUAUGGUAUGGUCCUGUGCCCCUACGCAAGGUUUUUGGGACCAUACCCCUUCAAGUCCCCCCAGUCCAGUGUUGCUUCUACGCAAGUAGGUAAAGCACUGGAUUAUAUAAAAUGAAGUGUGCGCUUUUUGCUUUGAGAAGUAGCAGGCUUGCUUGGCGCGAAGUAUGAAGAAUCUUCUUGUGGAAGAUAUUUUAUUUGUUUCUUCAUGUUGAGGUUUCCAUGAUUUCAAAUUUUGAAAAUUUUGACUCAUGGCAGGUAGCAGGUAAAAGGUAUUGUGAUGAUGUGUGACAUGUGACGGUUGGGUGACAGGCUGUCACUUGUCAGACGUCACACAUUAAUUGGGCGUCGUCAAACGUGGUUCACAUGCGCGUGUGGGUUUGUUAUUUGUUCCCCACUCGCCCUUACUACCUUGGUAAUCGCAUUUUCUUGAAAAGGGGUUCUGCGGUUUUCGAGGGCAUUAAUGGCGAUGGGUAUAUAAACCCUUUUGAGUGGCUUCUUUUUUCAUUAGCUGUCGUUGAAUCCUUUCAUCUUCUCUGAUUUUUCUUUUAGAGAGAAACCUGCAACUUGUGUGUUCUACCCUUUAUGUCUACUGGAGAACAUCCCGAAGAUUCUUCAGAAGAUAUGUUUGCUUCAUUACCACCGCUGAAGUGGUCGAAAGAAAUUUUCGAUGGUUUGGUACAGAACUUCAAGUUCCCCACGAGUUGGGGUGUGAUGUAUCCUGACGAGGGUCAGAUGGCGGCUCAGGCUUCAGCCGGUUAUAUUACCCUUUUUUGGGACUAUUUUACUGAUGGUAACUUCCGAUUACCUACUACAAGAUUUGUUCUUGAUGUUCUUGGUUACCACAAGUUCCAUAUUUCUCAACUACAUCCCAUCAGAAUGGUUCGGAUUCGACACUUCGAAUUCCUUUGCCGAUCGAUGCGUAUUGAACCGACAAUCAAUCGUUUCCGGGUAUUUUAUCAACUUCAUUGCUCGCAAGGUUUUUAUUCCUUUGCCCAACGUUCAUCGGCCAAGAAGAUCUUGCUGAUACCCCCCCCCCUAAAAAAAAAAAAUCUUUUCAUGACUGGAAACCCGAAUUUUUCUUUAUCAAAGCUGGAGUGAUUCCAAUGAAGAUGACCUUUAGGGGUGCAGAAGAUAUUAAGGUGGAGAAUCUGAAGACUCUGGAGUCGGAGAUUUGGUACCAGGACCUGAAGGAUAUUCCUUCUAUUGAACUUCCUGAGAGGGCCCUGGUUGCUGCUGGCAUGAGUCUUCAUUGGAAGAUGGACCAUGAGGACAAACCAGUAUACAUGGAGGGUGACACAAGUAAGACUUGAAAUCUUCCUACUUUUUUUUCUCGUUUUUUUGUGAAAUAAUGUGAACUUUGUCAUUGUUUUUGCCUUUGCAGUUGUUUUUUUGUAUGUUGUUACAUACAAGAGGGAGAAAGGAAAAAUGACAACCAUCUCGAAUGGUGCUGAUGAAGAACUUUGGUAUCAUCAGAUAAUAAAGAAUUUUAGGCUUCCACGGGAUAAGGAUCUAGCGGUGCAACCUUCUACUGGUGCUGGCCCUGAGAAGAAAAAGAAACGUGUGCCUGUUGUUGCUGCUGCGCUUAAGAAGGCUGAUGCACCAAAGGCAAAAACUGUCAAGGAAGAGAAGAAAGGUUUUAAAAAACCAAAACCAGAGCCUCAAGAUACUGCGGAUGUUCCUCCUUCAACCCAGAUGAACCCAUAGACUUGGAUUCGAGUCAUGAGCCGCUGGUAAGGACGAAGGAUGUGAAGAGAAAACAGGCGUAGGUUAAGGCUGCGGCGCAGCCUGCAAAGAAGAUGACAAGAAGGAAGAUUGGCAAGAAAGGCAAUUUGGAUGCUUUCGUUGCGAAAUUUUCUCCAUAAAAACCUACUUCAUCUGUUCGCGCGGAGUCAUCGUUUGUUUUUAAUGAUGAUCUCCCGCCCUCACCACCUCCCGCAUAUGUAAAAGAACGGUUGGAAGGUACCAAGGCUACCAAAGCGGAGGUA